rnacentral:pre_miRNA from 1 species
UUGACAGAUUAUUGUAUUCGACUGUAUUCACGGCGUGAAACGGGGGAUUGCACUGUUUUUAAACGGAAAGUGAAUCAAUUAACAUAAUAGACUCCU